GACGAACGCUGGCGGCGUGCUUAACACAUGCAAGUCGAACGGUGAACCAGAGCUUGCUCUGGGGAGUCAGUGGCGAACGGGUGAGUAACACAUGGGCAACCUGCCCAGACUCUGGGAUAACCUCGGGAAACCGAUGCUAAUACCGGAUACGACCACUUCGGACAUCCGACGGUGGUGGAAAGUUUUUCGGUCUGGGAUGGGCCCGCGGCCUAUCAGCUAGUUGGUGGGGUAAUGGCCUACCAAGGCGACGACGGGUAGCCGGCCCGAGAGGGCGACCGGCCACACUGGAACUGAGACACGGUCCAGACUCCUACGGGAGGCAGCAGUGGGGAAUAUUGCACAAUGGGCGAAAGCCUGAUGCAGCGACGCCGCGUGAGGGGACGACGGGCCUUCGGGUUGGUAAACCUCUUUCAGCAGGGACGAAGCGAAAGUGACUGUACCUGCAGAAGAAGACACCGGCGUAACUACGUGCCAGCAGCCGCGGUAAU
rnacentral:rRNA from 1 species